rnacentral:lncRNA from 1 species
CAGUAUUUUGGCUGUUCCAAAAUGAGACAAAUGGUAGUGAAAAGGUCGAAAUCCAAAUCUGUAAAUGGAAAGCUUUGCCCCAAAAUAGCAGAAGUGUUCAUCAAAGGCAGAGAAAUCUCAGCGUGGUGAGAAGGUAUCCUGCAACGGCCAACCCACGACCCGAAGGUCAACGUGUCAGUGUUUCACAAGCACUUGGUCUUCAUGAGCUCCUCAACUGCUGCCGUGGAUGUGAAACAAUUCAUCUUCCGGACAGUGCUCCUGAUGCUUCGGUCCUCUCCCACGGGCAUUUGUAACCCUGCCUCAGGGCAGGAAGCACUACCGGAUCUGCGGAGAUGCCUUCCAGGGCUGCGUUUAUAUAAUUCAUUUAAACAUGGCUGUACAAAGCUACACAUCCUCCUACUUCAGCAUACAAGUCAAUCUCUUCCUGGUAGUAACUGAAACUGAAUGAGACCAUAAUACACUGUGGUAAGCAUUCUUUUUUGGAUAACUCCUCAGGUUACAAUCUCUUCCUAAACCCUUCUCCAUGCACAAG